rnacentral:rRNA from 1 species
GAUGAACGCUGGCGGCGUGCCUAAUACAUGCCAGUCGAGCGAACAGAUGAGGAGCUUGCUCCUCUGACGUUAGCGGCGGACGGGUGAGUAACACGUGGAUAACCUACCUAUAAGACUGGGAUAACUUCGGGAAACCGGAGCUAAUACCGGAUAAUAUAUUGAACCGCAUGGUUCAAUAGUGAAAGACGGUUUUGCUGUCACUUAUAGAUGGAUCCGCGCCGCAUUAGCUAGUUGGUAAGGUAACGGCUUACCAAGGCAACGAUGCGUAGCCGACCUGAGAGGGUGAUCGGCCACACUGGAACUGAAACACGGUCCAGACUCCUACGGGAGGCAGCAGUAGGGAAUCUUCCGCAAUGGGCGAAAGCCUGACGGAGCAACGCCGCGUGAGUGAUGAAGGUCUUCGGAUCGUAAAACUCUGUUAUUAGGGAAGAACAAAUGUGUAAGUAACUAUGCACGUCUUGACGGUACCUAAUCAGAAAGCCACGGCUAACUACGUG